UACGUAGGGGGCAAGCGUUGUCCGGAAUCAUUGGGCGUAAAAGAGCGCGUAGGCGGUCCGGUAAGUCCGCUCUGAAAGUCCGGGGCUACCAACCCGGGCGAGCGGGCGGAUCUGUCGGGCUAGAGUCCGGAAGAGGCGAGUGGAAUUCCUUGGGUGUAGCGGUGAAAAUGCGCAGAUAUCAGGAGGAACACCGGUGGCGAAGGCGGGGUCUCUGGGCCGAUACU
rnacentral:rRNA from 1 species